UACGUAGGGGGCAAGCGUUGUCCGGAUUUAUUGGGCGUAAAGAGCUCGUAGGUGGUUCGGUAAGUCGGAUGUGAAAUCUCCAGGCUCAACCUGGAGGGGUCAUUCGAUACUGCCGUGACUAGAGGUCGGUAGGGGAGUGUGGAACUCCUGGUGGAGCGGUGAAAUGCGCAGAUAUCAGGAGGAACACCCGUAGCGAAGGCGGCACUCUGGGCCGAUACUGACACUGAGGAGCGAAAGCGUGGGGAGCGAACAGG
rnacentral:rRNA from 1 species